GAUUAAGUUAUUAAGGGCGCACGGUGGAUGCCUUGGCACUAGAAGCCGAUGAAGGACGUUACUAACGACGAUAUGCUUUGGGGAGCUGUAAGUAAGCUUUGAUCCAGAGAUUUCCGAAUGGGGAAACCCAGCAUGAGUUAUGUCAUGUUAUCGAUAUGUGAAUACAUAGCAUAUCAGAAGGCACACCCGGAGAACUGAAACAUCUUAGUACCCGGAGGAAGAGAAAGAAAAUUCGAUUCCCUUAGUAGCGGCGAGCGAAACGGGAAGAGCCCAAACCAACAAGCUUGCUUGUUGGGGUUGUAGGACACUCUAUACGGAGUUACAAAGGACGACAUUAGACGAAUCAUCUGGAAAGAUGAAUCAAAGAAGGUAAUAAUCCUGUAGUCGAAAAUGUUGUCUCUCUUGAGUGGAUCCUGAGUACGACGGAGCACGUGAAAUUCCGUCGGAAUCUGGGAGGACCAUCUCCUAAGGCUAAAUACUCUCUAGUGACCGAUAGUGAACCAGUACCGUGAGGGAAAGGUGAAAAGCACCCCGGAAGGGGAGUGAAAUAGAACCUGAAACCGUGUGCUUACAAGUAGUCAGAGCCCGUUAAUGGGUGAUGGCGUGCCUUUUGUAGAAUGAACCGGCGAGUUACGAUUUGAUGCAAGGUUAAGCAGUAAAUGUGGAGCCGUAGCGAAAGCGAGUCUGAAUAGGGCGUUUAGUAUUUGGUCGUAGACCCGAAACCAGGUGAUCUACCCUUGGUCAGGUUGAAGUUCAGGUAACACUGAAUGGAGGACCGAACCGACUUACGUUGAAAAGUGAGCGGAUGAACUGAGGGUAGCGGAGAAAUUCCAAUCGAACCUGGAGAUAGCUGGUUCUCUCCGAAAUAGCUUUAGGGCUAGCCUCAAGUGAUGAUUAUUGGAGGUAGAGCACUGUUUGGACGAGGGGCCCCUCUCGGGUUACCGAAUUCAGACAAACUCCGAAUGCCAAUUAAUUUAACUUGGGAGUCAGAACAUGGGUGAUAAGGUCCGUGUUCGAAAGGGAAACAGCCCAGACCACCAGCUAAGGUCCCAAAAUAUAUGUUAAGUGGAAAAGGAUGUGGCGUUGCCCAGACAACUAGGAUGUUGGCUUAGAAGCAGCCAUCAUUUAAAGAGUGCGUAAUAGCUCACUAGUCGAGUGACACUGCGCCGAAAAUGUACCGGGGCUAAACAUAUUACCGAAGCUGUGGAUUGUCCUUUGGACAAUGGUAGGAGAGCGUUCUAAGGGCGUUGAAGCAUGAUCGUAAGGACAUGUGGAGCGCUUAGAAGUGAGAAUGCCGGUGUGAGUAGCGAAAGACGGGUGAGAAUCCCGUCCACCGAUUGACUAAGGUUUCCAGAGGAAGGCUCGUCCGCUCUGGGUUAGUCGGGUCCUAAGCUGAGGCCGACAGGCGUAGGCGAUGGAUAACAGGUUGAUAUUCCUGUACCACCUAUAAUCGUUUUAAUCGAUGGGGGGACGCAGUAGGAUAGGCGAAGCGUGCGAUUGGAUUGCACGUCUAAGCAGUAAGGCUGAGUAUUAGGCAAAUCCGGUACUCGUUAAGGCUGAGCUGUGAUGGGGAGAAGACAUUGAGUCUUCGAGUCGUUGAUUUCACACUGCCGAGAAAAGCCUCUAGAUAGAAAAUAGGUGCCCGUACCGCAAACCGACACAGGUAGUCAAGAUGAGAAUUCUAAGGUGAGCGAGCGAACUCUCGUUAAGGAACUCGGCAAAAUGACCCCGUAACUUCGGGAGAAGGGGUGCUCUUUAGGGUUAACGCCCAGAAGAGCCGCAGUGAAUAGGCCCAAGCGACUGUUUAUCAAAAACACAGGUCUCUGCUAAACCGUAAGGUGAUGUAUAGGGGCUGACGCCUGCCCGGUGCUGGAAGGUUAAGAGGAGUGGUUAGCUUCUGCGAAGCUACGAAUCGAAGCCCCAGUAAACGGCGGCCGUAACUAUAACGGUCCUAAGGUAGCGAAAUUCCUUGUCGGGUAAGUUCCGACCCGCACGAAAGGCGUAACGAUUUGGGCACUGUCUCAACGAGAGACUCGGUGAAAUCAUAGUACCUGUGAAGAUGCAGGUUACCCGCGACAGGACGGAAAGACCCCGUGGAGCUUUACUGUAGCCUGAUAUUGAAAUUCGGCACAGCUUGUACAGGAUAGGUAGGAGCCUUUGAAACGUGAGCGCUAGCUUACGUGGAGGCGCUGGUGGGAUACUACCCUAGCUGUGUUGGCUUUCUAACCCGCACCACUUAUCGUGGUGGGAGACAGUGUCAGGCGGGCAGUUUGACUGGGGCGGUCGCCUCCUAAAAGGUAACGGAGGCGCUCAAAGGUUCCCUCAGAAUGGUUGGAAAUCAUUCAUAGAGUGUAAAGGCAUAAGGGAGCUUGACUGCGAGACCUACAAGUCGAGCAGGGUCGAAAGACGGACUUAGUGAUCCGGUGGUUCCGCAUGGAAGGGCCAUCGCUCAACGGAUAAAAGCUACCCCGGGGAUAACAGGCUUAUCUCCCCCAAGAGUUCACAUCGACGGGGAGGUUUGGCACCUCGAUGUCGGCUCAUCGCAUCCUGGGGCUGUAGUCGGUCCCAAGGGUUGGGCUGUUCGCCCAUUAAAGCGGUACGCGAGCUGGGUUCAGAACGUCGUGAGACAGUUCGGUCCCUAUCCGUCGUGGGCGUAGGAAAUUUGAGAGGAGCUGUCCUUAGUACGAGAGGACCGGGAUGGACAUACCUCUGGUGUACCAGUUGUCGUGCCAACGGCAUAGCUGGGUAGCUAUGUAUGGACGGGAUAAGUGCUGAAAGCAUCUAAGCAUGAAGCCCCCCUCAAGAUGAGAUUUCCCAACUUCGGUUAUAAGAUCCCUCAAAGAUGAUGAGGUUAAUAGGUUCGAGGUGGAAGCAUGGUGACAUGUGGAGCUGACGAAUACUAAUCGAUCGAAGACUUAAUCAA
rnacentral:rRNA from 1 species